GAUGAACGCUGGCGGCGUGCUUAACACAUGCAAGUCGAACGAUGAAGCCCAGCUUGCUGGGUGGAUUAGUGGCGAACGGGUGAGUAACACGUGAGUAACCUGCCCUUAACUCUGGGAUAAGCCUGGGAAACUGGGUCUAAUACCGGAUAGGAGCGUCCACCGCAUGGUGGGUGUUGGAAAGAUUUAUCGGUUUUGGAUGGACUCGCGGCCUAUCAGCUUGUUGGUGAGGUAAUGGCUCACCAAGGCGACGACGGGUAGCCGGCCUGAGAGUGUGACCAGCCAGCCUGGAACUGAGACAAGGUCCAGACUCGGACGGGAGGCAGCAGUGGGGAAUGUUGGACAAUGGGCGGAAGCGUGAGCCAGGCAGGCCGCGUGGGUGAAGAAGGCCUUCGGGUGGGAAAGACCUUUUGUGGGGAAAGAAAAGCAGCAGGUUAAUACCCCGCUGUUCUGACGGUACCCAAAGAAUAAGCAACGGCUAACUUCGUG
rnacentral:rRNA from 1 species